UAGCCUCUAGAACACCUCUAAAGUGGUGAGC
rnacentral:piRNA from 1 species